rnacentral:rRNA from 1 species
GCAUAUCAAUAAGCGGAGGAAAAGAAACCAACAGGGAUUGCCUUAGUAGCGGCGAGUGAAGCGGCAAAAGCUCAAAUUUGAAAUCUACCUUAUGGUCGAGUUGUAAUUUGAAGAUGUAAUUCUGGAUGCGUCUCUGCACAAGUUCCUUGGAACAGGACAUCAUGGAGGGUGACAAUCCCGUGAUGCGGAGGCAGCGUGUCUAUGUAGAAUAUCAUCGACGAGUCGAGUUGUUUGGGAAUGCAGCUCUAAGUGGGUGGUAAAUUCCAUCUAAAGCUAAAUAUUGGCGAGAGACCGAUAGCGAACAAGUACUGUGAAGGAAAGAUGAAAAGAACUUUGAAAAGAGAGUGAAAAAGUACGUGAAAUUGUUGAAAUGGAAGGGCUUCGGAUUAGACAUGGCAGUUUGUGCUCCACUUCCCUUUGGGGUUGUGUACUCGCUUACUGCCGGGCCAGCAUCAGUUUUGGCGGAAGGAUAAACAGCAUUGGAUGUAGCUCUUCGGAGUGUUAUAACUUUGCAAAUACUUCCAGCCGGGACUGAGGACCGCAUUUUAGGAUGCUGGCGUAAUGAUCCCAAGCCACCCGUCUUGAAACACGGACCAAGGAGUCUAUUGCCUAUGCGAGUGUUUGGGUGUAAAACUCAUACGCGUAAUGAAAG